rnacentral:rRNA from 1 species
ACUAGGGAUCGGACGUUGGUUUUUUUAUGCCCCGUUCGGCACCUUACGAGAAAUCAAAGUUUUUGGGCUCGGGGGGGAGUAUGGUCGCAAGGCUGAAACUUAAAGAAAUUGACGGAAGGGCACCACAAGGCGUGGAGCCUGCGGCUUAAUUUGACUCAGCACGGGGAAACUCACCAGGUCCAGACAUGCUUAGGAUUGACAGAUUGAUAGCUCUUUCUUGAUUGUAUGG